GAUGAACGCUGGCGGCGUGCCUAAUACAUGCAAGUCGAGCGAACGGACGAGAAGCUUGCUUUUCUGAUGUUAGCGGCGGACGGGUGAGUAACACGUGGAUAACCUACCUAUAAGACUGGGAUCACUUCGGGAAACCGGAGCUAAUACCGUAUAAUAUUUUGAACCGCAUGGUUCAAAAGUGAAAGACGGUCUUGCUGUCACUUAUAGAUGGAUCCGCGCUGCAUUAGCUAGUUGGUAAGGUAACGGCUUACCAAGGCAACGAUGCAUAGCCGACCUGAGAGGGUGAUCGGCCACACUGGAACUGAGACACGGUCCAGACUCCUACGGGAGGCAGCAGUAGGGAAUCUUCCGCAGUGGGCGAAAGCCUGACGGAGCAACGCCGCGUGAGUGAUGACGGUCUUCGGAUCGUAAAACUCUGUUAUUAGGGAAGAACAUAUGUGUAAUGAACUGUGGACAUCGUGACGGUACCUAAUCAGAAAGCCACGGCUAACUACGUG
rnacentral:rRNA from 1 species